AUUGAACGCUGGCGGCAGGCUUAACACAUGCAAGUCGAGCGGGGGAAGGUAGCUUGCUACCGGACCUAGCGGCGGACGGGUGAGUAAUGCUUAGGAAUCUGCCUAUUAGUGGGGGACAACAUCUCGAAAGGGAUGCUAAUACCGCAUACGUCCUACGGGAGAAAGCAGGGGAUCUUCGGACCUUGCGCUAAUAGAUGAGCCUAAGUCGGAUUAGCUAGUUGGUGAGGUAAAGGCCUACCAAGGCGACGAUCUGUAGCGGGUCUGAGAGGAUGAUCCGCCACACUGGGACUGAGACACGGCCCAGACUCCUACGGGAGGCAGCAGUGGGGAAUAUUGGACAAUGGGGGGAACCCUGAUCCAGCCAUGCCGCGUGUGUGAAGAAGGCCUUAUGGUUGUAAAGCACUUUAAGCGAGGAGGAGGCUACUUUAGUUAAUACCUAGAGAUAGUGGACGUUACUCGCAGAAUAAGCACCGGCUAACUCUGUGCCAGCCGCCGCCGUAAAAC
rnacentral:rRNA from 1 species